AGCGAACGCUGGCGGCAGGCCUAACACAUGCAAGUCGAACGAACUCUUCGGAGUUAGUGGCGGACGGGUGAGUAACACGUGGGAACGUGCCUUUUGGUUCGGCAUAACUCAGGGAAACUUGUGCUAAUACCGAAUGUGCCCUUCGGGGGAAAGAUUUAUCGCCAUUAGAGCGGCCCGCGUCUGAUUAGCUAGUUGGUGAGGUAACGGCUCACCAAGGCGACGAUCAGUAGCUGGUCGGGGAGGAUGACCAGCCACACUGGGACUGAGACACGGCCCAGACUCCUACGGGAGGCAGCAGUGGGGAAUCUUGCGCAAUGGGCGAAAGCCUGACGCAGCCAUGCCGCGUGAAUGAUGAAGGUCUUAGGAUUGUAAAAUUCUUUCACCGGGGACGAUAAUGACGGUACCCGGAGAAGAAGCCCCGGCUAACUUCGUG
rnacentral:rRNA from 1 species